rnacentral:lncRNA from 1 species
GUGGUUCUACCUUGAGAUGGUAGAGCAAUGAUUUAGGUAUAUAUCAUCAAACCCAAUCUAGCUCUUAGAACUUCCAUCUUUUUUUAGUUUGAGGAUAGAUUUAAUAUAAGAAAAGAAAAAGAAGUUUGCGACUAUCUCAUAUGUUGAAUUUAUUGGGAUCAUGAGUAUUGAAAGAUAAUAGAUAAAGCAAAAGUAGAAAUCAUAUUAAUGAUAAUAUCAAAAGCAUAGAAAAAUCACAGCAAUCGCAGGAACAUCAAAAUUUUUUUAUGGUUUGGCCAAAGCUUACGUCUACACAGGAAUCAGAGUAAGAAGGAGCUUUCACU